AUGAAACUCAUUGCUUGGAACUGCCGGGGAUUGGGUAACGGCCCGGCAGUCCGAGGGCUUCUGGAGAUCCAGAAGCGGGAGGACCCAGAUAUUCUUUUCUUGUCCGAAACCAAACUGGAUGAGAGGAGAAUAAAGCAUUUUAAAUGGGUGUUGGGUAUGAAGGAAAUGGUAAUAAAAGACUGUAAAGGAAAAAGUGGAGGGCUAGCAAUGUUUUGGAAGGAUACAGUGAAGGCUGAGCUUCACAAUUUCUCCAAGUACCACAUAGACAUUGAGAUAAUUGAAUACGAUAAUUUUAGAUGGAGGUUUACAGGUAUAUAUGGCGAACCAGCAAGUGACAAAAAGGAAAGGACCUUCAAUUUGCUUCGGGAUCUGAGUGCCCAGCUUGAAAGACCUUGGAUUUGUGUUGGAGAUUUUAAUGAAAUAUUGUAUGGCCAUGAGAAAGAAGGUGGCCCCCCAAGAAUUCAAGCCCACAUGGACAAAUUCAAAGAAACUCUUGAAGAAUGUGGUUUGCAGGACCUGGGCUAUGAGGGGGAUAUAUUCACAUGGAGAAAUCAUAGCCAUUCGGCAGAAAAAUACAUUAAGGAGAGGCUGGAUAGAGCUGUGGCAAAUAUGGAGUGGUGUGACCGUUUUCCUGGUUUCAAGGUAAUAAAUGGGGAUCCCCGACAUUCCGACCAUCGACCAAUCAUAGUGGAAACUGAAGGAAGGUAUUUUAAAAGCAGAAGAGGCACUCCACAUUUCAGAUUUGAAGCAAAUUGGGUGGAAGAAGAGAACUGUGAAACCAUCAUAGAGAAUGCCUGGAAGUUGACAAUGGCACAAGGAACUAAUAACAUUAUUCAAGGCCUUCAAAAGGUGGCUAGUGAGCUUCAAAACUGGAGUACAAAUAUCUUGGGCGAUCUUGAAAAGAGGUUGAAGAUUUUAAAGAGGGAGUUGGAGGAAGUCAGAAGAAGUGCAAUAUCCCCUCUACAAGUCUCUCGUGAAUUGUUCCUACGUGAGAAGCUCGAGCGCCUGGAACAUCAACGAGACCUUUAUUGGAAGCAACGCUCACAUGUCAAUUGGCUUAAAUCAGGUGACAAAAACACAAAGUAUUUUCAUGCCUUCGCCUCUGAAAGAAAGAAGAGAAAUACAAUCCGCCGGCUAAAAAAUGAUAGUGGGGACUGGGUAGAAGGCGAUGAGAAUUUAAAAAAUCUAAUCAAUGACUACUUUGUGUCUCUGUUUACAGCCCAGGCAGAAGGAAGUAGCCAAGAAGCUUUAAGUUGCAUAGGAAGAAGAGUGGACCAAAGCAUGAACAAUAUUCUGUGCACUGAAUUUUCUGAAGAUGAGGUGAGAGCAGCCCUUGACGCAAUAGGGGACUUGAAAGCACCAGGCCCUGAUGGUAUGCCGGCCCUAUUUUACAAGCGCUACUGGCACAUAGUAGGGGAGAAGAUCACUCAAGAAGCUUUGCGGAUACUGAGGGGAGGAGAGAUGCCGAUGGGGUGGAAUGACACAAUGGUGGUGCUUAUUCCAAAAGUAAGCAGACCUGAGAGUUUGAAGGACCUCCGACCCAUAAGCCUCUGCAACGUAGUCUAUAAGAUAGUUUCUAAAGUGCCGACCAAUAGACUAAAGGUGAUAUUACCUGAUAUUAUCUCUCCGAAUCAAAGUGCUUUUGUUCCGGGGAGAAUGAUCUCGGAUAACAUCCUCUUGGCAUAUGAGCUGACUCAUUUCUUGCAGAAUAAAAGAAGAGGGAAAGCCAGCUUUGCAGCACUCAAACUCGACAUGAGCAAGGCGUACGAUCGAAUUGAAUGGACUUUCUUGAGGGACAUGAUGAUAAAGAUGGGGUUUAACUCUUCCUGGGUCAAGCUCAUUAUGAACUGCGUCACCACGGUUCGUUAUCAAAUAAAGAAAGGAGGAACGUGGAAAAAUAAUAGGCAUCAAAGUAUGCAAAAGAGCUCCAAGCAUUAA
rnacentral:rRNA from 1 species